GACCAUGAGUUCAGCAUUUUUGACAACGAGUUGUUCGGUCUCUCUGACCUUCAGAGAUAAACCCUCGUUCUCCCUGAUAAGGUCUGAAAACCUCUUUCGGUUCUUGUCAACCAUCUGCUCAUAGGCAAGAUCUUUGCCUUUUAACAUGUUGGUCAAUUCGAACUUCACAGUUUCAGUGUGAGCGGUGAGUUCGCUCACUUGCCUUUUCAGGCAGUGCACUUCAUUCUGUGCACGAGAAAGUGCAAUGUUCACAUUGUAUCCGGUGGGAGGAGUCGGAAGAAGUGGAGCGCUAGCUCCACUUCUCUGGUUGUUUCUACGGUACAUGUUAAAUGACACUUGUGUAGUCUUGAAAAAGACUGUUGGUCAGCCCUGAAAAGGGGUGUAGUCUUGAAAAAGACUGUUUUAUUUGUCGCUAAAUGACUCGAUGUAACCUCUGAAAGAUGGUGAUGAAUCUUCCAAAAAACUACUUAAGUCUGUAAAGGACAAAUAUCGCAGAUACUUUCAAGAGAAAAUAUCCAACUGCACUCUUCUGGAACCAGAAACGCAAUGAUCUAGUGUUCCGAGACACAUCAAAGGAUUUCUUGAUGAUGUCACAGUUCCGUUGUCAGGGAAACGCAGCCCGUGUCAUAGAGUGAUGAUGUCACAGUUCCGUUGUCAGGGAAACGCAGCCCGUGUCAUAGAGUGGACUCCAUAACAACGGAAUGGAGUCCACUCUAUGACACGGACUGCGUUUCCCUGACAACGCACCCCGUGUCAUAGAGUGGACUCCAUAACAAAUGAAUGGAGUCCACUCUAUGACACGGACUGCGUUGUCAGGGAAACGCAGCCCGUGUCAUAGAGUGGACUCCAUAACAACGGAAUGGAGUCCACUCUAUGACACGGACUGCGUUUCCCUGACAACGGAAUGCAAAAUACAACAAAACUCACUUUGUGUGGUUUUUAUAUAUACACAACUUGAUGAUGCCGAUAUAUAAAGUCUCAUUCACCUCUGUUUCUUCCUGCACCGUGAUGCCCAUUUCUGAACCACGUUUUGGAUGAAGAAGCACUGAUAUUGAGUGAUACAGAUCAGACCAGCGUGAAGCACCUCCCCAUCCCUUACACAUGCCCCGUAUGGCGCGGCAUGUCUUUAUAUGCCGAACCUGAAAAUAAAGGCACUAUUUGCCGUACUGUCAAAAGUGUGUGUUUGGCGCUGAAGUCCAUCUUUAUUACCUUCCCUGGCCCCAGAAGAAUGUGUCACAUCAAAGAAGAUUUCCACAAGACGGUCCACAUAUUCUGUGUAAAUGGGUGAUUGUGUUUGAUGUUGUGAGAUGCAUGUAAUGGUAAAAUAUGUUAAAACAUUGUCUUGUGCUAAACCCGGGUCUCAAGUGUCCGUAUUUGACCCUGACGUGCAAAGAGCAGCAUGAUACAAAAUGUUAGUUUGCAGCUGUGUCCGUCACAGCUGCACAAAACCAGCACAGUUAGCACAUAAACACAUAUAUAACACCAACACAUUGAAAAAUCAUAUUAAAAGCCAAUUAAACAGUCUACAACUUUCCUAGCAAGUACAUGUUUUUAAAUCCUUUCGCAUUCAGUCGGUCCACGAUUGUUUGCCUGGCUUUUUCUCUUUGUUUAAUUACAGCUGCAGCUCUUUAUUUUCUUCCUUCUUGGCUUCAGGUGCAGUCAGGAUGCGAAGCUCAACAUAUCUUGUCAGAAUUUGCUAGUUGCCACGUUCAGAACCAUUGUUCUCGAGUUGGCUGGUGGAGGCGACAGACGGGCACUAGGGAUGGUCAAAGGACUGACCUGGGGCCUGUUGGCUGCUGAGACCAGCGGCUCCUCAGCUGAGAUGUUCUUUUUACCACAACGCCAUCUCCUUUAUUAAAUACAUUUGAUUUUAACCUUUUGAUCAGCGAUGACCUCUGUCCGUCCGGCGUUUCUUCAUUUUUGAACACAACAGGCCGAAGUUUGUUCCUUUUCAAACUCCCCGACGAUAGAAGGCGCUAAGGAGCGCGUCUAUAACCCUAUUUGCUGCACAGACAUCCUGUUUACCCCAAAGAGUCCCCAAGUUAUCAACAGAAGAAGGUUUUCAAACAGACACAACAUGUGGUUCAAUUAAGUACUCACUCUCUGGAAUCUGGAAAGAAAUGAUUAGUUGUGUUUGUGCGUGUGAUUUGGAGUGGUGAACUCAGCUGUCAACAAGCAGCAGGAGAGCACCUUGUUAACCUCUUGGUGUACUGCAUGCUCAAAACAUCGUAGCGUUAUUCAUUACAGUUUUUUACGACUGGAUAAACACUAAAAUCAAAAGUAUUACACAAUUAUCAAAACCUUCACUCAAGGAGCAAAACCACGGCUCAGAUUUGCACCACUAUAAGCACAUGUCAAGCAGAAGCAGAAGCAGAAGGAGGCCGAGGCCGUGCCAGAGGCCGAGGUGGAGGUAGAGGCUGAGGUGGAGGUGGAGGAAGACCUGAAGCAGAGAGGCUCAAAGAAGAGGACCAAAUUUGUCAGAUGAAAUGAUGUCGUCGUGGCGCAGGGAUUAGAGAAGGUGUACAGGGAAGCACAAGGUUGGUGGUUCUAGUCCAGGCUGCCCCAUGUUCCAUGUCGAAGUGUCCCUGAGCAAGACACCAAACCCCUAAUUGCUCCCCAGGCAAAACGUGAAAAAACCAUGUGUUUAAAGUGUUGGAUAAAAGCGUCUGCUAAAAUGACCUGUAAUGUAAUGUUUAGAUUAUCAUUUGUUUUUUUAUUAUUUCCCUUUUUGUUUCAUUAGUAUUAUUAGUGGAUCAAAUAUGAAUAACCAUCAAGUAUUAGUUGAUUUAUAUUUUGUAUCAUAAAGCUGAAAAGUAAAGAAGUUUA
ensembl:lncRNA